rnacentral:rRNA from 1 species
ACGGGUGAGUAAUACAUCGGAACAUGUCCUGUAGUGGGGGAUAGCCCGGCGAAAGCCGGAUUAAUACCGCAUACGAUCUACGGAUGAAAGCGGGGGACCUUCGGGCCUCGCGCUAUAGGGUUGGCCGAUGGCUGAUUAGCUAGUUGGUGGGGUAAAGGCCUACCAAGGCGACGAUCAGUAGCUGGUCUGAGAGGACGACCAGCCACACUGGGACUGAGACACGGCCCAGACUCCUACGGGAGGCAGCAGUGGGGAAUUUUGGACAAUGGGCGAAAGCCUGAUCCAGCAAUGCCGCGUGUGUGAAGAAGGCCUUCGGGUUGUAAAGCACUUUUGUCCGGAAAGAAAUCCUUGGCUCUAAUACAGUCGGGGGAUGACGGUACCGGAAGAAUAAGCACCGGCUAACUACGUGCCAGCAGCCGCGGUAAUACGUAGGGUGCGAGCGUUAAUCGGAAUUACUGGGCGUAAAGCGUGCGCAGGCGGUUUGCUAAGACCGAUGUGAAAUCCCCGGGCUCAACCUGGGAACUGCAUUGGUGACUGGCAGGCUAGAGUAUGGCAGAGGGGGGUAGAAUUCCACGUGUAGCAG